rnacentral:rRNA from 1 species
AUGUUCAUCGGUAGUGGAACUUGGCGGUCUCCAUGGUUGUCGUGGUACUUGUCGAAAGGAAUCCACCGAGGCGGUCUUGUGUCCCUGGAUUCAGUGGCCUUGGCAACAACAAAAGGGGCAGCAUCACGUAGCAUGCUUGGCGAGGGGCUACAAGUGAGGGGCCAUGGCAGCGGCAAGGCGAGCAGCAGUAGCACUAGUCACAGACAGAGGAGGUGCUGUCGGGCGCUGAUGGUGGUGGAGCAGGGGAAGUCAAUGCGGGCUCGCGUGUGGCCUCCAUCAGGACUUGACGAACGAUGCAGAAGCAAGGCAGCAGCGACACUGCUCCUGAGGCUUGGCAGGUGGCUUGGAGAGGAGGUCAACUCCGAUGGGGAUGAGCGACCGAAGUCAGAUCCGACCGGGAACGGGCAAGGGCAGCGGAGGCCAUCCGGAUCUGGACGAGGUUGGAGGAGGACUGCGCUCCCGCGGUUGAAGAUGAACGGCGACGGUGUGGCACUCUAG